rnacentral:rRNA from 1 species
AUGCCUAGACCAUUGGUGGAAAAUCUAUGGUUUAUGCAAUCUCUGUCAAGGAGCCACCGUUGGUGUGGAAGAACCAAAGAAGGCCUCUCGAGCAUCGCCACCAGUGCAUCUCGUUGGCUCUACCCUUUGGGGCAUGUCGCUUUGACGCACAAGGUUGUCCCAGAUCCAAAUUGCCAUCUCGAUAGUGGGGCCAACAACGUCAACAUAGAAAUGUUGGUGCUUGGAGCGAAGGCUGAGCAUCGUGUGAGCUUGAGGAUCUCCACAACUUCGCUACUCAUUAAUGUAACAACUAGAGUCAACACCAACGGUCCCAAAACUGAGCUCGAAGGUUCUUGUGACGAUGGGAUGGAGCACGGCCGGUGA